rnacentral:rRNA from 1 species
UACAGAGGGUGCGAGCGUUAAUCGGAAUUACUGGGCGUAAAGCGCGCGUAGGCGGCUUUGCAAGUCGGGUGUGAAAUCCCCAGGCUUAACCUGGGAACUGCAUUCGAGACUGCAUUGCUAGAGUAUGGGAGAGGGAAGUGGAAUUUCCGGUGUAGCGGUGAAAUGCGUAGAUAUCGUUUGGAACGCCGAUGGUGAAAACAGGUCGCUGGGGUUGUGCUGACGCUGAGACACGAAAGCCAGGGGAGCGAACGGG